rnacentral:piRNA from 1 species
UUUUAGCAGGAAAUUGAAAAA